GGUUGACCUCGGAUUAGU
rnacentral:rRNA from 1 species